UCUGAAGGUUUCAAUUGGUUCCUGAUAGAUUGUCUUAACACCAAUUUGCAAUGUCGGUCUCCGAUGAUAAUGCAGAAAGGAAAAAUGGGUCAGUCCCAGAAUCCAUCAUGACACCAAACUGGACAAUAAAUGUAUCCGAGAUAAAGACGAUCAAGGUCAGCAACAUUUCUCCGAAUGUUUCGGACCGAGACAUUAGAGAGUUCUUUUCUUUCUCCGGCAAUGUCCAGUACGUCGAAAUGCGAAG